AACACUGCAGUGAUGUUUUACAGUAAGCCAGGAGAGGAACACUGCAGCUGAUAUUUUACAGUAAGCCAGGUGAGGAACACUGCAGCUGAUAUUUUACAGUAAUCCAGGUGAGGAACACUGCAGCUGAUAUUUUACAGUAAGCCAGGUGAGGAACACUGCAGUUGCUGUUUUACAGUAAGCCAGGAGAGGAACACUGCAGUGAUGUAUUUACAGUAAGCCAGGAGAGGAACACUGCAGUGAUGUUUUACAGUAAGCCAGGAGAGGAACACUGCAGUGAUGUUUUACAGUAAGCCAGGAGAGGAACACUGCAGUGAUGUAUUUACAGUAAGCCAGGUGAGGAACACUGCAGUGAUGUUUUACAGUAAGCCAGGAGAGGAACACUGCAGUGAUGUAUUUACAGUAAGCCAGGUGAGGAACACUGCAGUGAUGUAUUUACAGUAAGCCAGGAGAGGAACACUGCAGUUAUGUUUUACAGUAAGCCAGGAGAGGAACACUGCAGUGAUGUAUUUACAGUAAGCCAGGUGAGGAACACUGCAGUGAUGUAUUUACAGUAAGCCAGGAGAGGAACACUGCAGUGAUGUAUUUACAGUAAGCCAGGAGAGGAACACUGCAGUGAUGUUUUACAGUAAGCCAGGAGAGGAACACUGCAGUGAUGUAUUUACAGUAAGCCAGGAGAGGAACACUGCAGUGAUGUUUUACAGUAAGCCAGGAGAGGAACACUGCAGUGAUGUAUUUACAGUAAGCCAGGAGAGGAACACUGCAGUGAUGUUUUACAGUAAGCCAGGAGAGGAACACUGCAGUGAUGUUUUACAGUAAGCCAGGAGAGGAACACUGCAGUGAUGUAUUUACAGUAAGCCAGGAGAGGAACACUGCAGUGAUGUUUUACAGUAAGCCAGGAGAGGAACACUGCAGUGAUGUUUUACAGUAAGCCAGGUGAGGAACACUGCAGUGAUGUUUUACAGUAAGCCAGGUGAGGAACACUGCAGUGAUGUUUUACAGUAAGCCAGGAGAGGAACACUGCAGUGAUGUUUUACAGUAAGCCAGGAGAGGAACACUGCAGUGAUGUUUUACAGUAAGCCAGGUGAGGGACACUGCAGUGAUGUUUUACAGUAAGCCAGGUGAGGAACACUGCAGUGAUGUUUUACAGUAAGCCAGGAGAGGAACACUGCAGUGAUGUAUUUACGUGUAGUAGCAUAAUGAAACGCGUGUCUCAUAUUUUGUACUACAAUAUUUAAUGAUUGUAUGAACAACGACACAGUAAAACUAUCGUAUCUUGUGUGUGGGUGGUCUAAACCUGGGGCGGCAGGGUAGCCUAGUGGUUAGAGAAUUUGUUCUUAACUGACUUGCCUCGUUAAAUAAAGGUAAAAUAAAAAAUAUAAAAAAUUCAUGAUUAAUGAGUUAUUAGUGUAUAACAAGUGUGUGUGUGUGUGUGUGUGGCAUCAAUAUGUGUGUGUGAGUGUGUGUGGCAUCAAUAUGUGUGUGUGUGUGUGUGUGGCAUCAAUAUGUGUGUGUGUGUGUGUGUGUGGCAUCAAUGUGUGUGUGUGUGUGUGUGUGUGUGUGUGUGUGUGUGGCAUCAAUAUGUGUGUGUGAGUGUGUGUGGCAUCAAUAUGUGUGUGUGUGUGUGGCAUCAAUGUGUGUGUGUGUGUGUGUGUGUGUGUGUGUGGCAUCAAUAUGUGUGUGUGAGUGUGUGUGGCAUCAAUAUGUGUGUGUGUGUGUGGCAUCAAUGUGUGUGUGUGUGUGUGUGUGUGUGUGUGUGGCAUCAAUAUGUGUGUGUGAGUGUGU